rnacentral:rRNA from 1 species
AGUGAACGCUGGCGGUAGGCCUAACACAUGCAAGUCGAACGGCAGCACAGUAAGAGCUUGCUCUUACGGGUGGCGAGUGGCGGACGGGUGAGGAAUACAUCGGAAUCUACUUUUUCGUGGGGGAUAACGUAGGGAAACUUACGCUAAUACCGCAUACGACCUACGGGUGAAAGCAGGGGAUCUUCGGACCUUGCGCGAUUGAAUGAGCCGAUGUCGGAUUAGCUAGUUGGCGGGGUAAAGGCCCACCAAGGCGACGAUCCGUAGCUGGUCUGAGAGGAUGAUCAGCCCCACUGGAACUGAGACAAGGUCCAGACUCCUACGGGAGGCAGCAGUGGGGAAUAUUGGACAAUGGGGGGAAGCCUGAUCCAGCCAUACCGCGUGGGUGAAGAAGGCCUUCGGGUUGUAAAGCCCUUUUGUUGGGAAAGAAAAGCAGCAGGUUAAUACCCCGCUGUUCUGACGGUAACCAAAGAAUAAGCACCGGCUAACUUCGUG